GAUGAACGCUGGCGGCGUGCCUAAUACAUGCAAGUCGAGCGCAAAGAUCAGGAGCUUGCUCCUGUGAUUUGAGCGGCGGACGGGUGAGUAACACGUAGGCAACCUACCCUUGAGAUUGGGAUAACUACCGGAAACGGUAGCUAAUACCGGAUACGACCUUUCCACACAAGUGGAAUUGUUAAAAGGCGGAUUUAUCUGCCGCUCAUGGAUGGGCCUGCGGUGCAUUAGCUAGUUGGUGAGAUAGUAGCUCACCAAGGCGACGAUGCAUAGCCGACCUGAGAGGGUGAUCGGCCACACUGGGACUGAGACACGGCCCAGACUCCUACGGGAGGCAGCAGUAGGGAAUCUUCCGCAAUGGACGAAAGUCUGACGGAGCAACGCCGCGUGAGUGAUGAAGGGUUUCGGCUCGUAAAACUCUGUUGUUAAGGAAGAAUACUUGAGGUAGUAACUGGCCUUGAGAUGACGGUACUUAACCAGAAAGCCACGGCUAACUACAUGCCA
rnacentral:rRNA from 1 species